UAGAGUUUGAUCCUGGCUCAGAUUGAACGCUGGCGGAAUGCUUUACACAUGCAAGUCGAACGGCAGCACGGGAGCUUGCUCCUGGUGGCGAGUGGCGAACGGGUGAGUAAUAUAUCGGAACGUAUCCAAUAAUGGGGGAUAACUAAUCGAAAGGUUGGCUAAUACCGCAUACGCCCUGAGGGGGAAAGCUGGGGAUCUUCGGACCUAGCGUUGAUGGAGCGGCCGAUAUCUGAUUAGCUAGUUGGUGAGGUAAAGGCUCACCAAGGCGACGAUCAGUAGCUGGUCUGAGAGGACGACCAGCCACACUGGAACUGAGACACGGCCCAGACUCCUACGGGAGGCAGCAGUGGGGAAUUUUGGACAAUGGGCGAAAGCCUGAUCCAGCCAUGCCGCGUGAGUGAAGAAGGCCUUCGGGUUGUAAAGCUCUUUCGCAAGGGAAGAAACGUUACGAGCGAAUAACUCGUGAUAACGACGGUACCUUGAUAAGAAGCACCGGCUAACUACGUGCCAGCAGCCGCGGUAAUACGUAGGGUGCAAGCGUUAAUCGGAAUUACUGGGCGUAAAGCGUGCGCAGGCGGUUUUGUAAGUCAGAUGUGAAAUCCCCGAGCUCAACUUGGGAACUGCGUUUGAAACUACAAGGCUAGAAUAUGUCAGAGGGGGGUAGAAUUCCACGUGUAGCAGUGAAAUGCGUAGAGAUGUGGAGGAAUACCAAUGGCGAAGGCAGCCCCCUGGGAUAAUAUUGACGCUCAUGCACGAAAGCGUGGGGAGCAAACAGGAUUAGAUACCCUGGUAGUCCACGCCCUAAACGAUGUCUACUAGUUGUUGGUGGAGUAAAAUCCAUGAGUAACGCAGCUAACGCGUGAAGUAGACCGCCUGGGGAGUACGGUCGCAAGAUUAAAACUCAAAGGAAUUGACGGA
rnacentral:rRNA from 1 species